CUCAUGCAGGUCAGAACACAAAAAUGCUGAUAGGGGAGUUGCUGUGCCUAAAGGUGUAAUCCUGACUUGUGUUUAAAGUGUAGCAGCAGGUACGUCUGUAUCAUAUCUGCUCUCCAGCACUCGAAUCUGUAGUUUCAUCUGAAUUUUCAAAAUGUUCGGACAAAACCAAGGAAACCAGUAUCCGGGGGGCUACCCCAACAAUCCGCAGCAGACGCCAGGAGGCUACCCUCAGUAUCCUCCAGGAACCUGCCCUCCUGGAGGCAACCCUCAGUAUCCUCCAGGAACCUACCCUCCUGGAGGCAACCCUCAGUA